rnacentral:rRNA from 1 species
CCAAAGCCCCCCGCUUACACCGAGAUGAUACCUGUUUAAACCAAGUCAUUUUGAGCCCGCAAUCUAGCCCGCAUCCUCCCCAUGUUGCCCCUAACUUAUUAAUUCUUUAAUAAAACAUUUCAACGUCUUAGUACAGGAGAUCGAAAAGUUUAUAGGCGCCUCAGAUAGAGUACCGCAAGGGAACGAUGAAAUAAUAAUGAAAUAAUUAUAAGCCUGAAAUAGCAGAGACACCCCCUCGUACCUUUUGUAUCAUGGUCUAGCCAGUUUAACCAAGCAAAAAGAAAAUUUAAGUUUGACCCCCCGAAACUAAACGAGCUACUUCAAAACAGCCCCAAGAGCUAACCCGUCUCUGUUGCAAAAGAGUGGGAAGAUUUUCAAGUAGAGGUGACAUGCCUACCGAGUUUAGAGAUAGCUGGUUGCUCAGGAAAAGAGUUUUAGCUCUACCUUAAGUUUCUUAAUUACUUCUAUAACCGCACUAAACUUAAGAGCUAUUCAAAUAAGGCACAGCUUAUUUGAGACAGGAUACAACCUCACACACAGGGUAAGUAAGGGUGAUUAAUUCAAAGUGGGCCUAAAAGCAGCCAUCUUUAAGAAAGCGUUACAGCUCCACCUCAUCUAACCCAUAAUUAUCUAAAACCCCCCCCAACCCUUCACCUCUACUGAACCAUUUUAUAUUGAUAUAAAAAUUAUUAUGCUAGAACUAGUAACAAGAACCUGCCCUUCUCCUAAAUAUAAGAAUAAGCCAAAACGGACACCCCACUGGCAAUUAACGUUAUUGAACCCAUUAUAACAACCCCAACCAGAAAAUCCUACAUUUACUAACGUCAACCUUACACCAGAAUAUUAAAGGAAAGAUUAAAAGAAAGAGAAGGAACUCGGCAAACUUUAACCCCGCCUGUUUACCAAAAACAUCGCCUCUUGACACACAUAAGAGGUCCAGCCUGCCCAGUGACAAAGUUCAACGGCCGCGGUACCCUGACCGUGCAAAGGUAGCAUAAUCACUUGUUCUUUAAAUAAGGACUUGUAUCAACGGCAUCACGAGGGUUACACUGUCUCCUCUUUCUAAUCAGUGAAACUGAUCCCCCCGUGAAGAAGCUGGGAUCAACCUAUAAGACGAGAAGACCCCAUGGAGCUUUAAACUACGUACCUACUCCGUCAAACUAACAACUAAACUAAAAAAUUUAGGUAUCAUUUUAGGUUGGGGGGACCACGGAGUACAAUUUAACCUCCACAACAAACAGGCCACGCCUUAAACCACGAGCCACACCUCUAAGAAUUAAUAACUUAAUGUUUAUGACCCAAGUAAUUGAUCAAUGAACCAAGUUACCCUGGGGAUAACAGCGCAAUCUAUUUCAAGAGUCCCUAUCGACAAAUAGGUUUACGACCUCGAUGUUGGAUCAGGGUAUCCCAGUGGUGCAGCCGCUAC